AUAUAUCAACCUCUUCAGGUUUUUACUUGUCGAGUGUUUGGAUGUGGGGGUUUCUUUUGCCGGUCUCUUUUGAGGUCAGCUCCCCUGAAAUGCAUUAGCAGAACAAUUUGUUGACUCGUUCAUUGGUGUGAUAACUAUCUACGCUAUUGACGGUGAAGCAGGUUCAGCUUCUAAUAGUCCAUUGACUUGGACAAAUUUUCAUUA
rnacentral:misc_RNA from 1 species